rnacentral:lncRNA from 10 species
ACUUCUCCCCUCAGUCUCCAACUUUUUCACCUAUAAGUCCCUCUCCCAACUCUUUUCAGCUUUUGCUGCUUAUUCCUCUAUCUCACGGGUUUUGCACAGAACCAAGAGGCAGUCUCUCCACUGAUAAGAAUACAUUAAUCCUCUGAGUUUGAGGCUAUGUCCAACAGGUGGCAAGGCCUAUUCCUGCACAGGAGACAGCUGCUGGGACUAAGGGAAGAUGCCAGAAAAAGGGAGCUUCAGGUGGGAAUCCGCACAGAGCAAUUAACCUUCACCCUGAAACACACCGGACUCCACUUCCACCACUCACAAAGGAGAGCACAACACUGAAGGCCAAACACUCAAAGCAUUUCCUAGGGCAAGGAUGCUGAAAGGGUCAUCCAGGGACCAGCUGCAGCAGAAUCCCACGCUCUUCUGUUUGACAAUGCGGAUUCCUGAACCCCAGCCCAGGCCUCCAGAGUCUGAAUAUCUGUAGGUGGAGUAGUCGCUGCUGCCAGUCACUUUCUCUUACAUCAUCCCAUGUAUUUUCUUCUUCACAACUAAACCAUUAUCUAAAAUGAUAUCAUUCAUUUACUUGUUUUCUGCCUUCUCCACGUUAGUGUAUGCUCCCAAGGAGCAGGAACAACCUGCUCAGAACAGUAUCUAGCACAGAGGAGGAGCUUAAUAAAUAAAUCAAUAAUAGGUGAAUUGAAGGGAAAGAGGGAGGAAGGGAGGAAGUUCAGAAUGGCUUCCCUAAUUAAUAAUAAAGCUGAGCUGAGCCCAAUUCCUAUGCCCUGGGGAUCUUCAGGGAGCAGAAAUCAGGGCAACAGCCAAGAGAAAAGGAGGUUGCUGCCCAUCAGGCGUUAAAAACAUCAACAUAAAAGACUGA